rnacentral:rRNA from 1 species
GACGAACGCUGGCGGCGUGCCUAAUACAUGCAAGUAGAACGCUGAAGAGAGGAGCUUGCUCUUCUUGGAUGAGUUGCGAACGGGUGAGUAACGCGUAGGUAACCUGCCUUGUAGCGGGGGAUAACUAUUGGAAACGAUAGCUAAUACCGCAUAACAAUGGAUGACACAUGUCAUUUAUUUGAAAGGGGCAAUUGCUCCACUACAAGAUGGACCGACGUUGUAUUAGCUAGUAGGUGAGGUAACGGCUCACCUAGGCGACGAUACAUAGCCGACCGGAGAGGAGGAGCAGUAACACGGGAACUGAGAAACGGGCCAGACUCCGACGGGAGGCAGCAGUGGGGAAUAGUGGACAAUGGGCGAAAGCCUGAUCCAGCCAUGCCGCGUGUGGGAAGAAGGUCUGCGGAUUGUAAAGCACGUUAAGUUGGGAGGAAGGGCAGGAAGUUAAGACCUUGCUGUUUGGACGUUACCAACAGAAUAAGCACCGGCGAACUUCGU